rnacentral:lncRNA from 1 species
GACCACUAGCAUUGUCCCCAUUUAAUUCAAAAACAACCCUUUUAACUUCAUUUAAAUUAGGUUGUCUACAAAGCUCUGCAUUAUCUUCAUCCCAGAUGGAUUUCUGAAUAUGUCUAAGAAGUGAUAAAGGCGUGGCAUCUCUUUCUUGGGAGAACUGAUUGUGAUAAACAUUAACUGUUUCUGCUGCUAUGUCUCGUUCAUCCUCUAACCAAUUUUCCUCAUUGUUCUGGAUCCUUUGCAAAUGCAGUCUUUUUCUCCUCUCUUUCACAAUACUGUGGAAGUACUUAAUAUUUCUGUCACCAUUCUCAAACCAAUCAUAUCCUGACUUUUGUUGUCAGAAUAUCUCUUCAAAGUGUAGAUAUCUUCUAUAUUCAGCUUGAGUUCUUUGCAGUACUUCUCUAUUUUCAGCUGUGGGAACCUCAUUAAACAACUUUUCUUUAAUCUUCACAAUGUUAGAUUGGUUGGGCUUUCUUUCCUUUCUUUUUGUAAUGUUAUAGCAUUUCAAAACCCGACCCAAUUAGAUUAAGGUUGAUUGAAAAUCGGCCCAAUAGCCCAAAACAAGCUUUCAUCAAAGGAAAAAUUAC